UCGACACAUGGUCGAAUUACCAAAUUAAUUUCUUGAAAUAUCCUUUAAAAGUCCAUAUCUGUGUGGAUAUAUUUUAAAACCAUCUUGUCUCCAUGUUUCACAGCCGGUCCUGCUGCUCCAGACUGUGGGCAGUGCUGGAUGCUGCUGGUCAUCCUGAAUCCAUCCUCUGCUCUUCUCCUCUCCCUCCUCUCAACCUCGGUCGUCUACCUCCACUGCAGAAAUACAGCCACCAAAGACCCCAGAGUUUAUCCGACAACACCUGACUCAGGAAGUAGAACUCAGGACAUCAGCUUCCAGAACGCUUCACCCAGUUCCUAGUUUUCCUUAACUUCCUAGUUGUGUUUUUAACUUCAUACAUGCGAGAACCAUCCACGGUGAAAAGCUAUAGCUGUACUGACACUGUUGUAAUCAGACGUUGUCUCAUCAUAACACCAUCCUGCAAAGAAUGGCAGCAAAUAUUACUCAGUUUUAUUCUUACAAUAAUGGAUUUAAUAUAGGAGAUAUAUGACCUCAACUUCUUUUAUGACUGACUCAAAUCAAGUAUGAAAGUUUAAAAUAAACUGCCAUGCAACAUC